UCCGGGUUGGUCCCGGCCGUCGGGCUAGAAAACCAACUAGCCCCGGGGGUUGCGCUCGUUGCGGGACUUAACCCAACACCUCACGGCACGAGCUGACGACAGCCAUGCAGCACCUGUCUGGUUCGCCUCACGGCCACGGCCUUUCGGCCGCCGAACACCAGAUGUCAAGCCCUGGUAAGGUUCUGCGCGUCGCAUCGAAUUAAACCACAUGCUCCACCGCUUGUGCGGGCCCCCGUCAAUUCCUUUGAGUUUCAGUCUUGCGACCGUACUCCCCAGGCGGAGUGCUUAAUGUGUUGACUUCGGCACAGCAGGGGUCGAUACCCGCUACACCAAGCACUCAUCGUUUACGGCGUGGACUAC
rnacentral:misc_RNA from 1 species